UCAGAGCUUGCCUGAAGGACCGCACAUUUUCCCGUCAAGUUUGCUUUUUAUAAAUAUCAAUUAUUGCGUAGAGAGUGGCGUACGCCUUCUUUUGUGUGUACGCAACGUUUACAAAUGAGGCCCCUAGUUUUUUCAAAACUGGAGUAAUAGAGGCGAUUUUGAGAGGAUGUGGAACAGUACCGGACAUAAGAGAGGAAUGAAUAAUGUUGGUUAUGUCAUGGUGCCUCUGUCAGACUCCUCCCCCUCUCUCCUCUCUGCUUGGUUCCUGAUUAUUCCCAGCUGCUUCCACUCACCUCAUCGCCACACCUGCCUUCUAAAGGAGCUCCAAGAUCUUCAUUCAACGCCAGUCCGUUGCCCCUGAUGGAAACCUCAGCCACGAGUGGUCACCCACAGCAGCCGUAAUCCGGAAUCCUUUUCUGGUCUGUUCCCUCCAUCCUCACCACGAGCCUCUGCCGAACCAGCUGCCUCACGAGACGGACCCACGCUGCCGACUCCAGACCCGAACGAGCAGAUCCACCAGUGACGCCACGAGCCGCAGUUACAUUCUCGGACCUCCAGUAACUGUUACCUACCUGUCUGGCCAUCAUAUUAAAUCCACCUUCUCGCCAAGA